GGAGAGGUGCCGGAGUGGUUGAACGGGGCGCUCUCGAAAAGCGUUGUCCGGUUUUUCCGGACCGCGGGUUCGAAUCCCGCCCUCUCCG
rnacentral:tRNA from 1 species